CAGCAGCCGCGGGAAUACAGAGGGUGCGAGCGUUAAUCGGAUUUACUGGGCGUAAAGCGUGCGUAGGCGGCUAAUUGAGUCGGAUGUGAAAUCCCCGAGCUUAACUUGGGAAUUGCAUUCGAUACUGGUUAGCUAGAGUGUGGGAGAGGAUGGUAGAAUUCCAGGUGUAGCGGUGAAAUGCGUAGAGAUCUGGAGGAAUACCGAUGGCGAAGGCAGCCAUCUGGCCUAAUACUGACGCUGAGGUACGAAAGCAUGGGGAGCAAACAGGAUUAGAUACCCCAGUAGUCCCUGUCUCUUAUAC
rnacentral:rRNA from 1 species